rnacentral:rRNA from 1 species
AGAGUUUGAUCCUGGCUCAGGAUGAACGCUAGCGGCAGGCCUAAUACAUGCAAGACGAACGGUAAUUUGAGUAGCAAUACUUGAGCAAGAGUGUCGUAAGGGUGCGUAACACGUAUGCAAUCUGCCCUCAACAGGAGAAUAGCUCCCCGAAAGGGGAAUUAACACUCCGUAAUAAUAAGAUGUGGCAUCACACUUUAUUUAAAACUACGGUGGUUGAGGAUGAGCAUGCGCAUGAUUAGUUAGUUGGCGGGGUAACGGCCCACCAAGACGAUGAUCAUUAGGGGAACUGAGAGGUUGAUCCCCCACACUGGCACUGAGAUACGGGCCAGACUCCUACGGGAGGCAGCAGUAGGGAAUAUUGGACAAUGGGUGCGAGCCUGAUCCAGCCAUGCCGCGUGCAGGAAGACGGCCUUCUGGGUUGUAAACUGCUUUUGCCAGGGGAUAAAAAGUCCCUGCGGGGAAAAUUGAAGGUACCUGGUGAAUAAGCCACGGCUAACUACGUGCCAGCAGCCGCGGUAAUACGUAGGUGGCAAGCGUUGUCCGGAUUUAUUGGGUUUAAAGGGUGCGUAGGUUGUUUUGUAAGUCAGUGGUGAAAUCCGGCAGC